rnacentral:lncRNA from 1 species
GCAGGGACAAGGAUAGGACUGAAGAUAACAAGAAGUGGUGUUGCAAUGAUCAAACCUAUGACAGUUCCAGUGAGGAUCAACCCAGACAGGAUCAAGAAUGAGACACCAAUGGCUGAUGCUGUCAUGAACUUGAUGGCUUGGCGUAUAGGUUGGUUAGUACUGGGGUCAUAGGAGGUUCCAUAAGAUGAACCAUAGGUGCCUCCUCCACCAUAGGAUGAUCCAUAGGACCCUCCUCCUCCAUAGCCUGUCCUUGUUUGAUCAGACAUAAUGGUAAAUGGGUUUUGGUGGCUGGUGACUUUUGAGAAUUUUUAGACAAGAAGUGAUGGGGUUUGAGGAAGAGUGAGAGAGAAGUGAAGGGAAUGUAUAGCAAUGAAGGGAGGUUAAGCUGGCAAAAGGGGAGGGUGCAUUGCUGUGUCGUGGCGGCUUUGCAUGAAACUGAGGUGGAGGUGAUGCAACACCUGUCCCUUUAACUGACUGGUGUCUUCUAACACUGAUCACCAUACAUUGUUACAUUGUUACAUUGUUACAGGACCCUUUCUCUGCUGGGGACCAUGGCAUGCUUUCGAUAAUGGUAAUUUUGAUAUUUUUUAAUAGAGUUAUGUCUCCUUUUCUUUGAAAUAACUGUCUAUUUGGGAAAAAAAAUUCAUAACAUUAAUUAAUUAACGGCUUAAUUACUCUGAUGAGUAAACCAUAAAUAAGUACUUGGUUNNNNNNNNNNNNCUUUCUAAUUUAAAAAAAAAAAUCGACACAAUUGUAAUAAUAAUUAAAAAAAAAAAAGUUGCAUGGGAAUAUUGGCUUCAGAGAAGAAUCUUUUUGUGCUUGAGAAUUGAGAUAAGGCGAAAGACUUACAAAAGAAAAGUUAUUUUCAUGUCUUCUAUGAUUAAAUGAUGAUACAUUGUAUUUCCAAUUUUUAUGUUUAUACUUUAUAAUAUUUUAAGGCAUUUAUUAAUAUUAUAUUCAAUUAUGUAAAUGUUAGAUGUUUUUUACUUAAAACCUAAUAAAAAUAUCAUGUUUAAUAUGUUAGAGAAGUAUGUACGUUUAUAAAAUUAAACGUAAAUUUAAUUGUUAAUAUAGUUAUAAUAACAAGGCAUGAAAAUUAAUUUAUUAGUUAAAAGUUUACAUUACGUAUUAAAUAUACGAUUAUGAUUAAACUACAUGCGCGCGAUCUCUAUUAUUAAAAUACUAUUACGAUUGUUUUUAAGUACGUGAUAACGUCGUUGUUCGAACUGUAAUUUUGGUUUUACUCUCUCGUGUCAAUGCAAGAAAGCUGACGAAGCUUCUUUUAUAUAUUUCACAAGAGAACAACUAGGGAACCAAAAGCAUAUUAGCCAAAAACCAGCCAAAAUAUGUUUGGGUUCUAUGAAAAAUUGGGUUUUGGUUUGUGCUCCGUGAUCUCAGGAACAGUUUUCAAACAGAUUAUUCAAAAAGUGAUUCUAAUUAAACGGUUUUGUUUACUUUUUGGCUGAUCACUUUUUGGUUCCAUAUACUUUUCCAUUUCACAAAGAAUCUAUUCAUCGACGUUAGGCUGCGGAAAAAGAGCACUCGGACAAAUUGAAAUGGUAUAGAGAGAAUAUAAUUCAUUUUAUAGUUAUUUUUUAUUAUUUUAUUAUUAUUUAAAAUGUGGGUCUUACCUUUAUUAAUUUUUCUUUUAUUCUAUUAAAAAAAAUCUGUAAACUUAUAUUUUUACCAUAUAAUUCACCGCAAAAAACUACUUUGCAUGUUUUUCUUAAGACGCAUAAAGAGUAGUUGAGCUGAACACCAAAAGAAAAACUAUAUAAAAAUAAGUUUUUUUUCUUUACAAUUAAAUUCAAUCGGGUUGGCCUAAAUUCACAAAAACUAACCACGUAUAAACACAUACUUUUGCAACUGUUUAAUAGUGCGAACAUUAAUAUGAAAAACGAUUCUUCUCGUUCAAUCAAAACCUAAAGAUCAAAUUCAAAAUUUAUGCAAAAACUCAAGAAAAUCUUAAAGUUACGUUCCAAAUCUUCACCAAAAAACAUAGAAACAGAAGAUGAAAGAUUAUUGAAGGUAUUGUUCACUGGUCGUCCAGUUUUUUCACUUUUUUCUUUCGCAUUUUCGAUCACAAAACACUAGAUAGUCAUAUUGGUACGAAGAAUAAGAAGCGUAAUGCCAGGAUUAGCAGGAGAGACACAUAUUGCUUUUGUGAAAAGGAGAAAGAUACAUGAUAGAGUUUUGAUUGCUUGUGAGACUGUGCAGUGGCUGAAGACGAGGAAGAAGAGUUCAGCGAUAAUUAAGUUGGAUUUUCAAAAAGCAUAUGAUAGAGUCAAGUGGAGUUUUGUAGAUAUCGUCAUUCAAAAGAUGGAUUUUGGUAUUAGAUGGCGAAGAUGGGUCAAGGAGUGUAUUUGCUCGGCGUUUAUGUCGAUUCUGAUAAAUGGUUCACCAUCUAAAUCCUUUAGCAUGGAACGAAG